rnacentral:rRNA from 1 species
UGAAAGGCUUUUUGAAGUCUUCGGAUGGAUAGAAGAACCCCUGAUGCCGUCGAGCCAAGAAAAGUUUCUAAGUUUAGCUAAUGUUGCCCGUACCGUAAACCGACACAGGUGGGUGGGAUGAGUAUUCUAAGGCGCGUGGAAGAACUCUCUUUAAGGAACUCUGCAAAAUAGCACCGUAUCUUCGGUAUAAGGUGUGGUUAGCUUUGUAUUAGGAUUUACUCCGAAAGCAAGGAAACUUACAACAAAGAGUCCCUCCCGACUGUUUACCAAAAACACAGCACUCUGCUAACUCGUAAGAGGAUGUAUAGGGUGUGACGCCUGCCCGGUGCUCGAAGGUUAAUUGAUGGGGUUAGCAUUAGCGAAGCUCUUGAUCGAAGCCCGAGUAAACGGCGGCCGUAACUAUAACGGUCCUAAGGUAGCGAAAUUCCUUGUCGGUUAAAUACCGACCUGCAUGAAUGGCGUAACGAGAUGGGAGCUGUCUCAAAGAGGGAUCCAGUGAAAUUGUAGUGGAGGUGAAAAUUCCUCCUACCCGCGGCAAGACGGAAAGACCCCGUGGACCUUUACUACAGCUUGACACUGCUACUUGGAUAAGAAUGUGCAGGAUAGGUGGGAGGCUUUGAGUAUAUGACGCCAGUUGUAUAUGAGCCAUUGUUGAGAUACCACUCUUUCUUAUUUGGGUAGCUAACCAGCUUGAGUUAUCCUCAAGUGGGACAAUGUCUGGUGGGUAGUUUGACUGGGGCGGUCGCCUCCCAAAUAAUAACGGAGGCUUACAAAGGUUGGCUCAGAACGGUUGGAAAUCGUUCGUAGAGUAUAAAGGUAUAAGCCAGCUUAACUGCAAGACAUACAAGUCAAGCAGAGACGAAAGUCGGUCUUAGUGAUCCGGUGGUUCUGUGUGGAAGGGCCAUCGCUCAAAGGAUAAAAGGUACCCCGGGGAUAACAGGCUGAUCUCCCCCAAGAGCUCACAUCGACGGGGAGGUUUGGCACCU